rnacentral:lncRNA from 1 species
UCGUCUCUAUCAAAAAAAAAGUUCCCUGAAUUUGAUUUCGGUUCCCGUAUUUAUAAUGGGAGGGGAGGAGUUAGUUAAGAAUUCAAAAUUCGAAAUUCGAAUUUUGAAUUAUUUGUUGGAUUGUUGGAGGAUAUUUGGGGAGUGGUUGGGAAUUCAAAAUUCGAAUUCGAAAUCAAAUGAGUUGUUGGAUAGUUGGAGGAUAUUUUGGGAGUUGGUUAGGGAAUUCAAAAUUCGAAAUCGAAUUUUGAAUGGGUUGUUGAAUGAUAUUUUGGAAAUUGGUUGGAAAUUCAAAAUUCGAAAUCGAAUUUCGAAUGGGUUGUUGGAUGAUGUUUUGGGAAAUGGUUGAGAAUUCGAAAUUCGAAAUCGAAUUUUGAAUGAGUUGUUGAAUGAUAUUUUGGGAAUUGGUUAGGGAAUUCAAAAUUCGAAAUCAAAUUUUGAAUGGGUUGUUGGAUGAUGUUUUGGGAAUUGAUUAGGGAAUUCAAAAUUCGAAAUCGAAUUUUGAAUGAGUUGUUGAAUGAUAUUUUGGGAAUUGGUUAGGGAAUUCGAAAUUCGAAAUUCGAAAUCGAAUUUCGAAUGAGUUGUUGGAGGAUGUUUUGGAAAUUGGUUGGGAAUUCGAAAUUCGAAUCGAAUUUCGAAUGUGUUGUUGGAUGAUAUUUUGGGAAUUCAAAAUUCGAAAUUUGAAUGGAUUAUUGGAGGAUAUUUUGGUAAUUUGUUGGGGGUUCAAAAUUCAAAAUUCGAAUUUUGAAUGGAUUAUUAGAUGGUAUUUUGGGAAUUCAAAAUUCGAAAUUCGAAUUUUGAAUGGAUUAUGAUUUGAAAUCGGAUUUCGACUAGAUACUUUAUAAGGUGUGGGUGUGGGCCGUCGUUGAUCAGACCCACCUUAAUUUAUUGGGCUCAAAUAAUAACGGGCUGAAAUAAAGGCCCUUCCUCACUUUUUUUUU